rnacentral:lncRNA from 1 species
GGAUAUUCAUGGUUUUUGUUGAGAAAUUCUUUUUUUUUUUUUUUUUUAAGGAUAAACUACAAAUUCUUGUGAGUCCUAAUUCCUCCUUAUCCACAAAGCAGACAAUGUUCCCAUGGAGUGGUUUGAUCUAUAUACACUGUGACAGUGGACAGAAGAAAACUGUGAAAGUUCAAAUUCGAGAAGAUUUGACUCAAAGAGAACUCUUACCUCACUCGGCCUCUGGUCUAUCUGGAGUUCUUACCCCAGCACCUGAGCCUUCCUUUCGUCAUUUGGUAAAACCAUUGACAAAGCCACCUUCCACGAAAAUCGAAAUAAGAAGCAAAACUGUUACUUUUCCCACAACAGAACCUGGUAAAACUUCAGAGAACUGUCUGGAGCUCGAGAAUCACGGCCCUACAGAUGCGAGGUGGCACUUGUCGUCUUUUGCUCCGCCAUAUGUCAAGGGAGUUGACGAAAGUGGAGAUGUUUUUAGAGCUACCUAUGCAGCAUUCAUAUGUUCUCCUAUUUCUGGGAUUUUGAAAAGCAGUGGAAUCCAGAAGGUCUCCAUCACGUUUUUGCCCAGAGAUAGAGGGGAUUAUGCCCAGUUUUGGGAUGUUGAGUGUCAUCCUGUUAAAGAGCCUCACAAAAAGCACACGUUAAGAGUCCAGUUCUCAGGACAAAGUGUCAGAGCUGAAAACAAGCCUGAAAAUGCACACCCUUCCACAGACACCCUCAUUAAAGUGGAUAAUGCACUCACUCCUCGAAGACGUGCUGUGUCAGAGACCUCUGGUGUCCUGCCCAGGCUAGUGGACUUGAAUCACCGAGGAGUCUAUGCCCCAGAAGAUGUGUACACAUUUCUGCCAACCAGAGUUGGAGAAUCAAGGACACUAAAAGUCAAUUUGCGAAAUAAUUCUUUCAUUACACAUGCACUGAAGUUUUUGACUCCUCAAGAGCCUUUCUACAUCAAACAUUCCAAAUACUCUUUGAGAGCCCGGCAUUACAUCCACAUCCCCGUGCACUUCAGGCCGAAGUCCGCUGGCAAAUUUGAAGCUUUGCUCAUUAUUCAGACAGAUGAAGGCAAGAGUGUUGCUGUGCGACUGACUGGUGAAGCCCUUGAAAAAGAUUAACAAGAACUCAUUUUUUUGUAAAGUAAAUUACAUAAGUUAUAUUUUUGCAACUUCUUUUUUUCUACACUACGAUUAUGCUGUUGUAUAUAUUUUGUAUGAUAAAUUGAUGUGUACAACUGUAGAUAUUCUUGGUUUUGAGAAGUUAACCCUGAAGACCUGACUAACAUAUCAUGUAUCCAGUCCAUAGAAUUGUAUUAACUUUUCAGGGAGAAGAGAGUUCUAUUUUUGCAUUGAUGAUAUAUUCCUAAUAAAUAUGGCAUAUAUUUUAAUGUGAUAAGUCCAAAAAUAAACUUAAUUUCCAUUGAGCCUUUUUGUGUGCUGUCAUAUAA